GACAGAGGUGCCGAGCGUUAGGCGGAAUCACUGGGCUUAAAGCGUGUGUAGGCGGAUCUGUAAGUACCUUGUGAAAUCCCACGGCUCAACCGUGGAACUGCUUGGUAUACUGCGGGUCUUGAGCCACCUAGGGGCAAGUGGAACAAACGGUGGAGCGGUGAAAUGCGUAGAUAUCAAGAGGAACACCUGAGGUGAAGACGGGUUGCUGGGCUGACACUGACGCUGAAGCGCGAAAGCUAGGGGAGCAAACGGG
rnacentral:rRNA from 1 species